AUCCGGCUGAUGAGUCCCAAAUAGAAUGAAACGCACGUCUUGGAU
rnacentral:hammerhead_ribozyme from 1 species